GUGCCAGCAGCCGCGGUAAUACGAAGGGGGCUAGCGUUGCUCGGAAUGACUGGGCGUAAAGGGCGCGUAGGCGGCUUACAUAGUCAGGCGUGAAAUUCCUGGGCUCAACCUGGGGGCUGCGUUUGAUACGUGUAGGCUUGAGUUCGGAAGAGGGUCGUGGAAUUCCCAGUGUAGAGGUGAAAUUCGUAGAUAUUGGGAAGAACACCGGUGGCGAAGGCGGCGACCUGGUCCGAAACUGACGCUGAGGCGCGAAAGCGUGGGGAGCAAACAGGAUUAGAUACCCUCGUAGUCC
rnacentral:rRNA from 1 species